rnacentral:rRNA from 1 species
UACAGAGGUCUCAAGCGUUGUUCGGAUUCAUUGGGCUUAAAGCGCGUGUAGGCGGAUUCGUGCGUCUGUCGCUGAAAUCCCCCGGCUCAACCGGGGAACGGGCGCGGAUACGACGAGUCUGGAGGGGCAUAGGGGGACCUGGAACUUCCGGUGGAGCGGUGAAAUGCGUUGAGAUCGGAAGGAACGCCCGUGGCGAAAGCGAGGUCCUGGAUGCCUACUGACGCUGAGACGCGAAAGCCAGGGGAGCGAACGGG